GCGACAGACAACAAAUACCACGAGGAGACUAUGUACUGUGCUAGAAGGUGGUGAGUAAGCAGAGGUUCAUAUAUCAAGUUAACUGGAGGAGUGGAGAUUUGACAUUUUGCACUGCUUCAAGUUCUGCUAGCUCCAAGUCCCACAGUUCAUUUAUUGGUUCAAAAAAUCAAGCACCUACUAUGUGUCCAGCACCAUGCUAAUCUCUGGGGAUGUUGAGCAGGACAGACACAGUCCUUUCCUCCAAGGACCUGAAGACAAGCAGGAAGAGUGGACAGGAUGCUAUGAGAGAGGUACUCACCAGGGCACAGGCUGCCAACAUCCAGCCCCGACUCCUUCAGUCCACCGCAGAGGUCCCCCGAGGACGGUCCUCCUACUUCUCCGAGCUUCCUGUGCGGCCCUGCCGCCUGCAAGGGGCCUACUUCCCGGGUGAGCCCUCGGCAAUGACACCUGAGAAGCGGGGUAGGGGGAAACAGCCCCGCUUCCUUGCCCCCGGCGGGGACUUCAGUGGCAGUCCUGCCACGGCCUCUCUGAGCGCUCCCCCCACCCCGACAUGGAGGCUCUGUCGCCCACAGGAGUAGCCCCCAUCGGGGCACAUGUCACUGGCUU